GGUGUGUUUAUGGUGGAAGUGGGUGUGUGUGGGGUGGGAAGGGGUGUGUUUAUGGUGGAAGUGGGUGUGUGUCUGAGUAGCUACUGUUCUACCUUGCAUGGAGUUUAUAGUGAUACUUGAGAAAGUGAUUCAUGUCAUAGGCUCAAAGCACUUGCUAAAUGUGUUCCAGUCGUCAUACCCUACCCGUAUGAACCGCUGUAAGGAGAUCCUGAGGAAGGCUGUCAGUCUGAAGGCGAGUCUGGGGAAGUUCAUAGGAGAUGCCAACACACUGACAAACUCCUGGAGCUCACUGCUGACACAAACACACUGCUAACAUAUCAUUUUGGGGUCCAUUUCUCUCUCUGUAUUCCAGGUGGAUGGUAACAGUAGUCUCAGUAUAGGGUCCAUUUCUCUCUCUGUAUUCCAGGAGGAUGGUAGCAGUAGUACUCUCAGUAUGGGGUCCAUUUCUCUCUCUGUAUUCCAGGUGGAUGGUAGCAGUAGUACUCUCAGUAUGGGGUCCAUUUCUCUCUCUGUAUUCCAGGUGGAUGGUAGCAGUAGUACUCUCAGUAUGGGGUCCAUUUCUCUCUCUGUAUUCCAGGUGGAUGGUAACAGUAGUACUCUCAGUAUGGGGGUCCAUUUCUCUCUCUCUGUAUUCCAGGUGGAUGGUAGCAGUAGUCUCAGUAUGGGGGUCCAUUUCUCUCUCUCUGUAUUCCAGGUGGAUGGUAGCAGUAGUACUCUCAGUAUGGGGUCCAUUUCUCUCUCUCUCUGUAUUCCAGGUGGAUGGUAGCAGUAGUACUCUCAGUAUGGGGUCCAUUUCUCUCUCUCUCUCUGUAUUCCAGGUGGAUGGUAGCAGUAGUACUCUCAGUAUGGGGUCCAUUUCUCUCUCUGUAUUCCAGGUGGAUGGUAGCAGUACUCUCAGUAUGGGGUCCAUUUCUCUCUCUGUAUUCCAGGUGGAUGGUAGCAGUACUCUCAGUAUGGGGGUCCAUUUCUCUCUCUCUGUAUUCCAGGUGGAUGGUAGCAGCAGUACUCUCAGUAUGGGGUCCAUUUCUCUCUCUCUCUGUAUUCCAGGUGGAUGGUAACAGUAGUACUCUCAGUAUGGGGUCCAUUUCUCUCUCUCUCUGUAUUCCAGGUGGAUGGUAGCAGUAGUCUCAGUAUGGGGGUCCAUUUCUCUCUCUCUCUGUAUUCCAGGUGGAUGGUAGCAGUAGUCUCAGUAUGGGGUCCAUUUCUCUCUCUCUCUGUAUUCCAGGUGGAUGGUAGCAGUAGUCUCAGUAUGGGGUCCAUUUCUCUCUCUGUAUUCCAGGUGGAUGGUAGCAGUACUCUCAGUAUGGGGGUCCAUUUCUCUCUCUCUGUAUUCCAGGUGGAUGGUAGCAGCAGUACUCUCAGUAUGGGGUCCAUUUCUCUCUCUCUCUGUAUUCCAGGUGGAUGGUAACAGUAGUACUCUCAGUAUGGGGUCCAUUUCUCUCUCUCUCUGUAUUCCAGGUGGAUGGUAACAGUAGUACUCUCAGUAUGGGGUCCAUUUCUCUCUCUCUCUGUAUUCCAGGUGGAUGGUAGCAGUAGUCUCAGUAUGGGGGUCCAUUUCUCUCUCUCUGUAUUCCAGGUGGAUGGUAGCAGUAGUACUCUCAGUAUGGGGUCCAUUUCUCUCUCUGUAUUCCAGGUGGAUGGUAGCAGUACUCUCAGUAUGGGGGUCCAUUUCUCUCUCUCUGUAUUCCAGGUGGAUGGUAGCAGUAGUACUCUCAGUAUGGGGUCCAUUUCUCUCUCUCUGUAUUCCAGGUGGAUGGUAGCAGUAGUACUCUCAGUAUGGGGUCCAUUUCUCUCUCUCUCUCUGUAUUCCAGGUGGAUGGUAGCAGCAGUACUCUCAGUAUGGGGUCCAUUUCUCUCUCUCUGUAUUCCAGGUGGAUGGUAGCAGUAGUACUCUCAGUAUGGGGUCCAUUUCUCUCUCUCUGUAUUCCAGGUGGAUGGUAGCAGUAGUACUCUCAGUAUAGGGUCCAUUUCUCUCUCUGUAUUCCAGGUGGAUGGUAGCAGUAGUACUCUCAGUAUAGGGUCCAUUUCUCUCUCUCUCUGUAUUCCAGGUGGAUGGUAGCAGUAGUACUCUCAGUAUGGGGUCCAUUUCUCUCUCUCUCUGUAUUCCAGGUGGAUGGUAGCAGCAGUACUCUCAGUAUAGGGUCCAUUUCUCUCUCUGUAUUCCAGGUGGAUGGUAACAGUAGUACUCUCAGUAUGGGGUCCAUUUCUCUCUCUCUGUAUUCCAGGUGGAUGGUAACAGUAGUACUCUCAGUAUGGGGUCCAUUUCUCUCUCUCUCUGUAUUCCAGGUGGAUGGUAGCAGCAGUACUCUCAGUAUGGGGUCCAUUUCUCUCUCUCUCUGUAUUCCAGGUGGAUGGUAGCAGUAGUACUCUCAGUAUGGGGUCCAUUUCUCUCUCUCUGUAUUCCAGGUGGAUGGUAGCAGUAGUACUCUCAGUAUGGGGUCCAUUUCUCUCUCUCUCUCUGUAUUCCAGGUGGAUGGUAGCAGUAGUACUCUCAGUAUGGGGUCCAUUUCUCUCUCUCUGUAUUCCAGGUGGAUGGUAACAGUAGUACUCUCAGUAUGGGGUCCAUUUCUCUCUCUCUCUGUAUUCCAGGUGGAUGGUAACAGUAGUACUCUCAGUAUGGGGUCCAUUUCUCUCUCUCUCUGUAUUCCAGGUGGAUGGUAGCAGUAGUACUCUCAGUAUGGGGUCCAUUUCUCUCUCUCUCUGUAUUCCAGGUGGAUGGUAGCAGUAGUACUCUCAGUAUGGGGUCCAUUUCUCUCUCUCUCUGUAUUCCAGGUGGAUGGUAGCAGUAGUACUCUCCGUAUGGGGUCCAUUUCUCUCUCUCUGUAUUCCAGGUGGAUGGUAGCAGCAGUACUCUCAGUAUGGGGUCCAUUUCUCUCUCUCUCUGUAUUCCAGGUGGAUGGUAGCAGUAGUACUCUCAGUAUAGGGUCCAUUUCUCUCUCUGUAUUCCAGGUGGAUGGUAGCAGUAGUACUCUCAGUAUGGGGUCCAUUUCUCUCUCUCUGUAUUCCAGGUGGAUGGUAACAGUAGUACUCUCAGUAUGGGGUCCAUUUCUCUCUCUCUCUGUAUUCCAGGUGGAUGGUAGCAGCAGUACUCUCAGUAUGGGGUCCAUUUCUCUCUCUCUCUGUAUUCCAGGUGGAUGGUAGCAGUAGUACUCUCAGUAUGGGGUCCAUUUCUCUCUCUCUGUAUUCCAGGUGGAUGGUAGCAGUAGUACUCUCAGUAUGGGGUCCAUUUCUCUCUCUCUCUCUGUAUUCCAGGUGGAUGGUAGCAGUAGUACUCUCAGUAUGGGGUCCAUUUCUCUCUCUCUGUAUUCCAGGUGGAUGGUAACAGUAGUACUCUCAGUAUGGGGUCCAUUUCUCUCUCUCUCUGUAUUCCAGGUGGAUGGUAACAGUAGUACUCUCAGUAUGGGGUCCAUUUCUCUCUCUCUCUGUAUUCCAGGUGGAUGGUAACAGUAGUACUCUCAGUAUGGGGUCCAUUUUUCUCUCUGUAUUCCAGGUGGAUGGUAGCAGUAGUACUCUCAGUAUCAGUAUGGGGGUCCAUUUCUCUCUCUCUGUAUUCCAGGUGGAUGGUAGCAGCAGUACUCUCAGUAUGGGGUCCAUUUUUCUCUCUGUAUUCCAGGUGGAUGGUAGCAGUAGUACUCUCAGUAUCAGUAUGGGGGUCCAUUUCUCUCUCUCUGUAUUCCAGGUGGAUGGUAGCAGCAGUACUCUCAGUAUGGGGUCCAUCUCUCUCUCUGUAUUCCAGGUGGAUGGUAACAGUAGUACUCUCAGUAUGGGGUCCAUUUCUCUCUCUCUGUAUUCCAGGUGGAUGGUAGCAGUAGUACUCUCAGUAUAGGGUCCAUUUCUCUCUCUCUGUAUUCCAGGUGGAUGGUAGCAGCAGUACUCUCAGUAUGGGGUCCAUUUCUCUCUCUCUGUAUUCCAGGUGGAUGGUAACAGUAGUACUCUCAGUAUGGGGUCCAUUUCUCUCUCUCUGUAUUCCAGGUGGAUGGUAGCAGUAGUACUCUCAGUAUGGGGUCCAUUUCUCUCUCUCUCUGUAUUCCAGGUGGAUGGUAGCAGUAGUCUCAGUAUGGGGGUCCAUUUCUCUCUCUCUGUAUUCCAGGUGGAUGGUAGCAGUAGUACUCUCAGUAUGGGGUCCAUUUCUCUCUCUCUCUCUGUAUUCCAGGUGGAUGGUAGCAGUAGUACUCUCAGUAUGGGGUCCAUUUCUCUCUCUGUAUUCCAGGUGGAUGGUAGCAGUAGUACUCUCAGUAUGGGGUCCAUUUCUCUCUCUCUCUCUGUAUUCCAGGUGGAUGGUAACAGUAGUACUCUCAGUAUGGGGUCCAUUUCUCUCUCUCUGUAUUCCAGGUGGAUGGUAGCAGUAGUACUCUCAGUAUGGGGUCCAUUUCUCUCUCUCUCUCUGUAUUCCAGGUGGAUGGUAGCAGUAGUACUCUCAGUAUGGGGUCCAUUUCUCUCUCUGUAUUCCAGGUGGAUGGUAGCAGUAGUACUCUCAGUAUGGGGUCCAUUUCUCUCUCUCUGUAUUCCAGGUGGAUGGUAGCAGCAGUACUCUCAGUAUGGGGUCCAUUUCUCUCUCUCUGUAUUCCAGGUGGAUGGUAACAGUAGUACUCUCAGUAUGGGGUCCAUUUCUCUCUCUCUCUGUAUUCCAGGUGGAUGGUAGCAGUAGUACUCUCAGUAUGGGGUCCAUUUCUCUCUCUCUCUCUGUAUUCCAGGUGGAUGGUAGCAGUAGUACUCUCAGUAUGGGGUCCAUUUCUCUCUCUCUGUAUUCCAGGUGGAUGGUAGCAGCAGUACUCUCAGUAUGGGGUCCAUUUCUCUCUCUGUAUUCCAGGUGGAUGGUAGCAGUAGUACUCUCAGUAUGGGGUCCAUUUCUCUCUCUCUGUAUUCCAGGUGGAUGGUAGCAGCAGUACUCUCAGUAUGGGGUCCAUUUCUCUCUCUGUAUUCCAGGUGGAUGGUAGCAGUAGUACUCUCAGUAUGGGGUCCAUUUCUCUCUCUCUGUAUUCCAGGUGGAUGGUAGCAGUAGUACUCUCAGUAUAGGGUCCAUUUCUCUCUCUCUGUAUUCCAGGUGGAUGGUAGCAGCAGUACUCUCAGUAUGGGGUCCAUUUCUCUCUCUGUAUUCCAGGUGGAUGGUAGCAGCAGUACUCUCAGUAUGGGGUCCAUUUCUCUCUCUCUGUAUUCCAGGUGGAUGGUAACAGUAGUACUCUCAGUAUGGGGUCCAUUUCUCUCUCUCUGUAUUCCAGGUGGAUGGUAGCAGCAGUACUCUCAGUAUGGGGUCCAUUUCUCUCUCUCUGUAUUCCAGGUGGAUGGUAACAGUAGUACUCUCAGUAUGGGGUCCAUUUCUCUCUCUCUGUAUUCCAGGUGGAUGGUAGCAGUAGUACUCUCAGUAUGGGGUCCAUUUCUCUCUCUCUCUGUAUUCCAGGUGGAUGGUAACAGUAGUACUCUCAGUAUGGGGGUCCAUUUCUCUCUCUGUAUUCCAGGUGGAUGGUAGCAGUAGUACUCUCAGUAUGGGGUCCAUUUCUCUCUCUCUCUCUGUAUUCCAGGUGGAUGGUAGCAGUAGUACUCUCAGUAUGGGGUCCAUUUCUCUCUCUGUAUUCCAGGUGGAUGGUAGCAGUACUCUCAGUAUGGGGGUCCAUUUCUCUCUCUCUGUAUUCCAGGUGGAUGGUAGCAGUAGUACUCUCAGUAUGGGGUCCAUUUCUCUCUCUCUGUAUUCCAGGUGGAUGGUAGCAGCAGUACUCUCAGUAUGGGGUCCAUUUCUCUCUCUCUGUAUUCCAGGUGGAUGGUAACAGUAGUACUCUCAGUAUGGGGUCCAUUUCUCUCUCUCUCUGUAUUCCAGGUGGAUGGUAGCAGCAGUACUCUCAGUAUGGGGUCCAUUUCUCUCUCUGUAUUCCAGGUGGAUGGUAGCAGCAGUACUCUCAGUAUGGGGUCCAUUUCUCUCUCUCUGUAUUCCAGGUGGAUGGUAGCAGCAGUACUCUCAGUAUGGGGUCCAUUUCUCUCUCUCUCUGUAUUCCAGGUGGAUGGUAGCAGCAGUACUCUCAGUAUGGGGUCCAUUUCUCUCUCUCUGUAUUCCAGGUGGAUGGUAACAGUAGUACUCUCAGUAUGGGGUCCAUUUCUCUCUCUCUCUGUAUUCCAGGUGGAUGGUAACAGUAGUACUCUCAGUAUGGGGUCCAUUUCUCUCUCUCUGUAUUCCAGGUGGAUGGUAACAGUAGUACUCUCAGUAUGGGGUCCAUUUCUCUCUCUCUGUAUUCCAGGUGGAUGGUAGCAGCAGUACUCUCAGUAUGGGGUCCAUUUCUCUCUCUCUCUGUAUUCCAGGUGGAUGGUAGCAGUAGUACUCUCAGUAUGGGGUCCAUUUCUCUCUCUCUGUAUUCCAGGUGGAUGGUAGCAGUAGUACUCUCAGUAUGGGGUCCAUUUCUCUCUCUCUGUAUUCCAGGUGGAUGGUAGCAGCAGUACUCUCAGUAUGGGGUCCAUUUCUCUCUCUCUGUAUUCCAGGUGGAUGGUAACAGUAGUACUCUCAGUAUGGGGUCCAUUUCUCUCUCUCUCUGUAUUCCAGGUGGAUGGUAGCAGUAGUACUCUCAGUAUGGGGUCCAUUUCUCUCUCUCUGUAUUCCAGGUGGAUGGUAGCAGUAGUACUCUCAGUAUAGGGUCCAUUUCUCUCUCUCUGUAUUCCAGGUGGAUGGUAGCAGUAGUGCUCUCAGUAUAGGGUCCAUUUCUCUCUCUGUAUUCCAGGUGGAUGGUAGCAGCAGUACUCUCAGUAUGGGGUCCAUUUUUCUCUCUGUAUUCCAGGUGGAUGGUAGCAGUAGUACUCUCAGUAUGGGGUCCAUUUCUCUCUCUGUAUUCCAGGUGGAUGGUAGCAGUAGUACUCUCAGUAUGGGGUCCAUUUCUCUCUCUCUGUAUUCCAGGUGGAUGGUAGCAGUAGUACUCUCAGUAUGGGGGUCCAUUUCUCUCUCUCUGUAUUCCAGGUGGAUGGUAGCAGUAGUCUCAGUAUGGGGUCCAUUUCUCUCUCUCUGUAUUCCAGGUGGAUGGUAGCAGUAGUACUCUCAGUAUGGGGUCCAUUUCUCUCUCUCUGUAUUCCAGGUGGAUGGUAGCAGUAGUACUCUCAGUAUGGGGUCCAUUUCUCUCUCUCUCUGUAUUCCAGGUGGAUGGUAACAGUAGUACUCUCAGUAUGGGGUCCAUUUCUCUCUCUCUGUAUUCCAGGUGGAUGGUAGCAGUAGUACUCUCAGUAUGGGGUCCAUUUCUCUCUCUCUCUGUAUUCCAGGUGGAUGGUAGCAGUAGUACUCUCAGUAUGGGGUCCAUUUCUCUCUCUCUCUGUAUUCCAGGUGGAUGGUAGCAGUAGUCUCAGUAUGGGGUCCAUUUCUCUCUCUCUCUGUAUUCCAGGUGGAUGGUAGCAGCAGUACUCUCAGUAUGGGGUCCAUUUCUCUCUCUGUAUUCCAGGUGGAUGGUAGCAGUAGUACUCUCAGUAUGGGGUCCAUUUCUCUCUCUGUAUUCCAGGUGGAUGGUAGCAGCAGUACUCUCAGUAUGGGGUCCAUUUCUCUCUCUCUCUGUAUUCCAGGUGGAUGGUAGCAGUAGUACUCUCAGUAUAGGGUCCAUUUCUCUCUCUGUAUUCCAGGUGGAUGGUAGCAGCAGUACUCUCAGUAUGGGGUCCAUUUCUCUCUCUGUAUUCCAGGUGAAUGGUAGCAGCAGUACUCUCAGUAUGGGGGUCCAUUUCAAGCAGUGGAAGCGUCUGGUGGAGGAGCCAUCGUUCAGCCAGGUCCUGAUCCCUCUGCAGUCUGUCCUCAUCCCCACACUGCACUCUACUGGCCCUGCAAACACACUGCACCACAACCGAUUCCCCGGACACUGGGCCUACCUCCACGGCUUUGACGAUACUGUGAGUGUGUGUGGGGGGGGGGGGGGGUUGUCUUUCUGUGUGUCUGUGUCGUGCCACGUGUGUGUGUGUGUGUGUGUGUGUGUGUGUGUGUCUCACGAUGAGUAGGUGGAGAUCCUAGCCUCCCUCCAGAAGCCCAAGAAUAUCGGCCUGAAGGGAAGUGAUGUGUAAACCUAAAGAUGACCUCCGGUCGUCUCAUGGAGUCCAACUGUCUCAUCAACAAGGUGUUUCACCUGUCUCUUCUCCAACUGCCAUCUGUACAUCACUCUGCUGUAGCCCAGAGGUAACACAACACUUCAGACUAUUGUGUGUGUGUGUGUGUGUGUGUGUGGUGCCUGCGUAAGGAUGCAGAGUACAGGAGGAGGGAGCUCCAUAUCCGUACAUAUGCUGUGAUCCCACUGAAUGAGGAGUGUGGCAUCAUCGAGUGGGUCAACAACACUGGAGGUCUCCUACACAUUCUGACCAAACUCUACAAGGAGAGAGGUAACACACUGACCACGCUAUACUAGGAGAGAGAUACACACACUGACCACACUCUACUAGGAGAGAGGUACACACACUGACCACACUAUACUAGGAGAGAGAUACACACACUGACCACGCUAUACUAGGAGAGAGGUAACACACUGUCCACACUCUACUAGGAGAGAGAUACACACACUGACCACACUCUACUAGGAGAGAGGUACACACUGACCACGCUAUACUAGGAGAGAGGUAACACACUGACCACACUCUACUAGGAGAGAGGUAACACACUGACCACACUCUACUAGGAGAGAGAUACACACACUGACCACACUCUACUAGGAGAGAGGUACACACACUGACCACACUCUACUAGGAGAGAGGUACACACACUGACAACACUCUACUAGGAGAGAGGUACACACACUGACCACACUCUACUAGGAGAGAGGUACACACACUGACCACACUAUACUAGGAGAGAGGUACACACACUGACCACACUCUACUAGGAGAGAGGUACACACACUGACAACACUCUACUAGGAGAGAGGUAACACACUGACCACACUCUACUAGGAGAGAGGUACACACACUGUCCACACUCUACUAGGAGAGAGAUACACACACUGACCACACUCUACUAGGAGAGAGGUAACACACUGACCACACUCUACUAGGAGAGAGAUACACACACUGACCACACUCUACUAGGAGAGAGGUACACACACUGACCACACUCUACUAGGAGAGAGGUACACACACUGACCACACUAUACUAGGAGAGAGGUACACACACUGACCACACUAUACUAGGAGAGAGGUACACACACUGACCACACUCUACUAGGAGAGAGGUACACACUGACCACACUCUACUAGGAGAGAGAUACACACACUGACCACACUCUACUAGGAGAGAGGUACACACACUGACCACACUCUACUAGGAGAGAGGUAACACACUGACCACACUAUACUAGGAGAGAGAUACACACACUGACCACACUCUACUAGGAGAGAGGUACACACACUGACCACACUAUACUAGGAGAGAGGUACACACUGUCCACACUCUACUAGGAGAGAGGUAACACACUGACCACACUAUACUAGGAGAGAGGUACACACACUGUCCACUAUACUAGGAGAGAGGUACACACACUGACCACACUAUACUAGGAGAGAGGUAACACACUGACCACACUCUACUAGGAGAGAGGUACACACACUGACCACACUCUACUAGGAGAGAGGUAACACACUGUCCACACUCUACUAGGAGAGAGGUAACACACUGACCACACUCUACUAGGAGAGAGGUACACACACUGACCACACUCUACUAGGAGAGAGGUAACACACUGACCACACUCUACUAGGAGAGAGGUAACACACUGACCACACUCUACUAGGAGAGAGGUACACACACUGACCACACUCUACUAGGAGAGAGGUAACACACUGACCACACUCUACUAGGAGAGAGGUACACACACUGACCACACUCUACUAGGAGAGAGGUACACACACUGUCCACACUCUACUAGGAGAGAGGUAACACACUGACCACACUCUACUAGGAGAGAGGUAACACACUGACCACACUCUACUAGGAGAGAGGUACACACACUGUCCACACUCUACUAGGAGAGAGAUACACACUGUCCACACUCUACUAGGAGAGAGGUACACACACUGACCACACUCUACUAGGAGAGAGGUAACACACUGACCACACUCUACUAGGAGAGAGGUAACACACUGACCACACUACUAGGAGAGAGGUACACACACUGACCACACUAUACUAGGAGAGAGGUAACACACUGACCACACUCUACUAGGAGAGAGGUACACACACUGACCACACUCUACUAGGAGAGAGGUACACACACUGACCACACUAUACUAGGAGAGAGGUAACACACUGACCACACUACUAGGAGAGAG